rnacentral:tRNA from 1 species
GACCGCGUAGCUCAGUUGGCAGAGCAUUGGGCUAGUAUUCCAAAGGUUGUAGGUUCGAUUCCCACCGCGGCCA